rnacentral:piRNA from 1 species
UGGAGCAUCUCUGAGUUGGG